ACUCCUACGGGAGGCAGCAGUGGGGAAUAUUGCACAAUGGGGGAAGCCCUGAUGCAGCCAUGCCGCGUGUGUGAAGAAGGCCUCGGUUGUAAAGCACUUUCAGUAGGGAGGAAGGUAGUGUAGUUAACACCUGCACUAUUUGACGUUACCUACAGAAGAAGCACCGGCUAACUCCGUGCCAGCAGCCGCGGUAAUACGGAGGGGUGCGAGCGUUAAUCGGAAUUACUGGGCGUAAAGCGCAUGCAGGCGGCCUGUUAAGUCAGAUGUGAAAGCCCGGGGGCUUAACCUCGGAAUUGCAUUGAAACUGGCAGGCUAGAGUCUUGUAGAGGGGGUAGAAUUUCAGGUGUAGCGGUGAAAUGCGUAGAGAUCUGAAGGAAUACCAGUGGCGAAGGCGGCCCCUGGACAAAGACUGACGCUCAGAUGCGAAAGCGUGGGGAGCAAACAGGAUUAGAUACCCUGGUAGCACAGAG
rnacentral:rRNA from 1 species